GACUCUUGCCCAAGCCUGAGACUCUGGGAGGAGGAACUAGUUUGGGAAGGAGAUUAAGUCGCAUUCUGAAUGCGGUGAGUUUGAAGAGAAGAUGAGUCAGGCAGAGGGACAGCAGUAGGUAAGGUUUUCACAAAAGGAUGGGCUGACGUAGCUUCUUUCCAGAGGUCAGAGAAGGAGGUGGCCCCCUCCCUGACCUUAGCUUAGACCCAUCCCUGCUCGGCACAAUGCGCCUCCUUCCAGCUAGUGACCUGAGUGCUCCCUCCUGCCAGUGAGGUGUCCGGGACUUACCUAGGACCACAUCAACACUGGCUCCCUCUAAGGUGUCAGGAACCAGGCAGUGAUGCCCGCGAUGCUGUGAUGUCACCCGGGAGGUUAUUAUUGCCUUAAUAAUAACGAGAAGCCAGGAACCCAAGAAAGAACCUCAUUCACAUGCACCCAGGCUCCUCCUCCAGGAAACCAGAGCCAUCUGAAUGGCAGGAUGUCCUUCUGGGAAGCCAUGUGGGAAGGCGACUGGAGAAGGGACAUCUGGAGGCACAGGGCCGUGAGAGGGGCUGUGCCUUUCCCCUUCCUCUCGGGGUGAAUAUGCCAAGUUUGUUUACAGCUCGGGGACCCGGCCAGCCCCGCUACUAGGGACGGCAGUGGCGACACCUCCUCGCAGGACCCUGACCCUGGUGCUGCUGGAGCCAGAGGGACCUCGGGAGGCGGGAGGCUGGGUCUCUCCCCCUCUGCACAAGUGCUUCCGACGAGGCCCUAACGAAGUGUCUGGUUGGGAAAGUAAACAGAAAGAAGACAAAUAAACAAAGAUGCCCACAGGCAAUUACAGGGAGGAAGUCAUCUUCGGGUGCAAGUCGCUCCGCUGAUGGACAGCAGGCCUGCUUUGCUCAGCGCCCCGGGAACACUUCCGGGUGGGGGGCGCCCAACAACUUGGAGCUUGGCGAGGAGAGACCCCGA